GCCGCUCCUGCCCUGAGCCUGGCCUGGGCUGGUCAGGACGGGCCUUGGGGAUUGCUGUGCUCGGUCCGGAGCUGUCUGAGCAAACACCCCACUGUGUCAUCACUGCUAACUCAGGGGUCUCUCUCUCCUGUCUGUCCCUUGGGGUCCUUGUGAAUGUGACUUCGGAGCCGAUGGUCACUCAGUGCCCAUCACCCACCUUCUUGGCCAGUCGGGCCCUGGUGCCCCACGGGCCCUGGGUCUCCCCGGAACCCAGGCAGAGCAGACACACCACCGCGUCCCUGGGGCCCAGUCUUCCCUGGUACCCCACGGAAACCUGCGAGACACCAGACGCCGAGUGUGACCGGGGAGCACAGUGAGCAAGAACAGGAGGGAGGGGAUGGAGCGGAGCAGGCCGAGUCCCCAUCGCGUCCUGGGUCCCCACUGUACUGCGCAGAGCCCUUGCACAGGAAAGCCUGAGUAUUUACACCGUUCCUCUCACUGAUCAUGGCCAGCUCUCAUGAACCGAAAGGGUCUUCCUAUGUGCAGAAGGCACUGAUUACUGAUGAUGCCCUAAGAUCUGUGAAGAGUGAACCCCACAACUGGCGUUUACAGAAGUGAGUCUGGCUGAAACCUAUGUGCCGAGG